UGGUAAUCCAAUGUAUAAGCAAUGGACUGUUUUAUUCUUGGUGCUUUCAAGACCUGAUGCUUUGUUUUGAACAGGUUGAUACAUCUAGGAGUGAAAUACAUCACCGCUUUCCCUGCUCCCGCCGCCAUUAAAAUUGUGUUUGGCAUCUGACCACCAAGAUACAGAUAUUUCCUAGACUGUUUUGCAGCUAGGUACUUAGAAGUUUUUCUAAGUUAUUUAAACUUCUCACCACACAAAAUCUGGAUUUGUAUCUGUCACGUAGUAAUUGCUUGAUAAAUCAUUUCUCUUUCCUCUGGAGAAAAAUAUCUGCUUUCUUUAAAAUAAAUGUUCCAUCCAUGCAGCUAAGCAGCUAAGGACACGAACAGCCACUGAUACAGGCCAACUCAUCAGUAGAUUAUUGAGGAAUCAUUCUCUUCAGUCAGAUCACGAUUUGAGUUUGAACUAACCAGAGAGUAGCAGAAGGAACGUUUUCUCAUUUCCAUGUCCAGAAAGAUAUAUUCCUGCUACCCUCCUGAAGUCAGAGGAUGAAAUCAUAGUCAAUACAUCUUUGCAGAUAAACUAUUAGAUUUCAUACUAGGACCUUUCAUUGGCUGAACAAAGACAAAGACAGAAAUCAAGGAAGGUCAAAGAAGCAGUCAGUUUUCUGGCACCCAAAGUUGUUGGAGAAGGGUACAGAGUCGGUAAAUAAGUCAUAUGACAGACAGGCAGUAUUUUCUUAUUUUAAUAACAAGUUUAAAAAUCCCACUUCUUGUACUUACCUUCUGUCUGACGUCAUCAGUAUUUUAAAAUGCCAACUGGGAUCAAGUUCAACACUGCAUUACUGAAGAAUCCAGAUUAUCUACAUUUCAAGUGCCAAAUGAAAGAAAGAACCCAGAAAAUAAAACAAUAUGAUGAUAACAGUAAAAUUUUUUAAAAUGAAAUUUAUGGUCUAAAUCCUGAUCAUUAAUGGUUAUUUCAUAUUGAAGCAAUGAGG
rnacentral:lncRNA from 1 species